AGAUUAGUAGACAUGGAAAAAUUUGGCUCACAAGAGAAAAAUCCUUAAGAUUUAUUGUCUGACUGAGGAAAGUAAGAGUGCAUAGAAUGCCUGAUUACACUACAAAAAGGAUGUUAAAAGUCUUAUGAUUUCUAUUUUUCUGUUUUAUAUAUACAAGGCCAUAAGAAUCCUAUGUUAAAUAGAAAGUAAAGUGAAUAUUACUAAAAAAGUUUCUUUGUCCUAAAGUGUCAUCCCACCUGUCCCAGUACAUCUGUAUGUGUAUCAAACAACUGUUAACACUGUCUCUCAGGUCCCAGAGUAAAAUGCGUUACAGGGAAAGCUUAGUAAGUUACAAUAUAAUUUUUCAGCUGUUGAAAAAAGGUGUGUCGUGAUUCAUAUUUCACAACUGCAGUAAAAUUAACUGAUAGCUAUACUCAGCCCAAUCCUGGAAAGUUUAAGAGUCCUAAAUUUCUGCUUUUCUGUUGAGGUCAUUUGGAGUCUAGAGUUAGCUGAGCAUUUUGCAAUCAAAAUAAGAGGAGAAAAGUAGGUCUUUCCUCACUUCUCAAGACCAGGGCCAACAGCCAAUAACAUCAAACUGGUCGUGCCAUCAUUAAAUUAAGUCCAAGACACAUCAAUAUGAAACAUGGUGCUAGUGAAAUUUGCUCAGUAUUACAUGAUUUGUGUCUGUUUUUCUAACUUUAACUUUGGAGGUUUCUUGGAUAAAUGGCAAGACAGGGUAUGAAAGAAGCUUGUUUUCUGCAUCCCAUUGGAAAAGAAUCAAAAAGAAUCAUCUAUGUGAACUGCUGUUACAAUGGGGAGAAAAAACACCAAACCCGUAAGAGGCUAAAGCAGAAUAGUUUCUAUACCAUAAGGAUAUAAGGUGAGAGAAUACAACAGCACUAGUGAAUGUGGAAAUGUCUCAAUACCCGUUUUCAUAUUGUUAAUCAAAAUCAGUUUUAUUCUGUUGUUCUGAAGUCUGCACAUCUGAAAUAUGUGUAAGAUAACUACAUAAAUUUACACUUUUAAACAUUUUAUGUACGAAGUAUAAAUGUGUAUUUUCUUCUAGACCUGGUUCUUGCAUGUUAAUUUUUAUGAUUCCUAUGAUUCAAGACUCUUCUAUAAC
rnacentral:lncRNA from 1 species